ACAGGUUGUUCUUGAGCUCCUGGAGGGGGGUCUCCUCUUCAGCAGCGCCUCUCUGAAGUUUGUGAGGGGCCAGAGAAGGGACGACUGACUGCAGCAGUGCGAGGCAAGUGCAUGAGCCAGCUUUUCAAGAAAGAAGACGUGCAGGAGUCCACACACCGACCCAGUCUACCAGUGGGGAGUAUUUUAAGGACUGUCUAACCUGAGAAUGGUAUAAUUAGCGGUCAAUCUCAGGUUCGUCAGCCCAUGAAAUGCUUUCCUCAUAAAUAAGGAGAGCUAAUCGAAAGGAAGCCUGCUGUGUCCAUUCAUCUUAUCUCCCUUCAUUCUUUAUGAAUGGCUUGAUGUCUCCAAUGAUCUCCUGUCGGAGCAGUUCUUGAAUUAAAGGAGCCUCAAAAAUGGUUUGAAACAAGUCUUUACGCUCUUAAAAAAGAAUCCAAACACUUACUCAUCAAUAAAGUUUGGGGUUUUUUUCUAAA